UUCCACAUCCAUCUUCCUCACCGAAUGAAUUUUCCCCUCCAUUUGGAUCCUUCUCUUUUCCUCAUCUCUGUAGCUCUACAUUGUUCCUGGCAAUAAAGACAUUUGACGUGUGAGUCUCCUCACCUCCCACCCUCUCUCUCGCUCACUCUGUUUCCGCGGUUACCAGUCGCGCUGUUUGGUUAUGCAAUGCACGGCGCUCUCAGGCUCCGAGACGGGACCUAUAACCACACGACUGCCAUCAGCAACGGACAGAGGACGGCAGGGUGGGGAGCUCGCCGCAGCAGGUUGGCGAUCUCUUGAGCGUAGCCAGACUUGGACAGAAGGCAUCCACACAUCUGUAAGGUUGCUUCUACACCCACAGAAAAAGAGGAGAGCAAGGAGAAGGGGAAGGCAAUCGUGGAGAAAAGGAGAGAGAAGGUGGGGGUGAGUGUUUGUGACAAAUGCUGAGCAGCUUCUCUUUUAGAUGCUUAGGGGGUCAGAUAGACAAGCGUGACAGAGGGGAGAACAAGAGUGUAUGACAGAAAGAGUGUGUGUGUGGGUAAGAAAGAGGGAGUGGAGAGAGAGAGAAAGAGAGAGAAAAGGAGGGGAGACUGAGAAGAGGAGAGUGAUUUUAAGAAGGGGGGCUUUUGGAAAAAGGAGAGAGAGAGAGAGAGAGGGAAGGAGAGCAGGGAGCAGAUUUCUCAGAGCCCCCUUGAAUGGAAGGUGUGAGCUGUUCAAUCAGAGAAUAAAAAAACAAACAACGUUAGGUAAAGAAUUAAAAGAACUACUGAAUGAGUGUGGAAAAAAAGGAAGGGCUUCUUCAGGUUGGUGAUACAUAAGGAGGCUGGAAUACUGACACAGAAAGAACGAGAGAAACCCAGAUAUAGAGAGAGACAGUGACAUAGAGAGAGAGAGAGAGAGAGUGAGAGAAGGGGAGGGAUGUUAGGGACUGAGAUCGUUGUAUGCGUUACGCACAAGACACAAAAAGAUGCUGUUGUAGACCUUCUCUAUUUCUCCCUUCUUUUUUUCUCUCUCUUUCUCUCUCUCUCUCUCCACCUUUCAAUUUCUCUCUCUUUUGCUCUUUAACGGUCUUGGGGACGUUGGACGUUUGGCCAGCUGGCCCUCAUGUUGCCGCCAGCCCAGAUAUGCUUCUCCUGUGAUGAGCCCACAGCAUGCUGGAUCUUUCCCCUGAUCUCCCACGCAGUAGGAUAAGCAUCCUGGAAACAGCCGUGGGGGGCCAGAAUGGGGACGACCACCGUCAGCAUAGAGGAAGUUCGGGCGCAGGAGGGUAAAGAAGAACGAGAGGAGUCCAUCUUGGCCUUGCUGGGGAUCAUCGGCACCUUCCUGAACCUCUUUGUCAUUGUGUUUGUUUACAUCUAUACCACCCUGUGAGGGGGAGGAUCACGUGGCAGGGGGCAGGUGGAGCUGAGUGGUGAGUUUGGAAAGAGAUAUGACAGAGGGGUUGGCAUCUCACAGAGAGAAACAUGGAAGAUGACACUGGGCCGGUCAGGAUAGGGAAAGUGACACUUCCCCCAUGACCCCUAACGAAAAGGGCAGAAUAUAUUUUAAUGCGUCACAUUCAGCUGGAGUCUAGGACAGAGGACAUUACAUGACAAAUGAACAUCUAUGUAAUACAGAUUUCUGGACACUAGGAGAAUGAUUCUUGGAUAUGCCAGAUUAGUAACCUCACAGGACAUGGUCAUGGGCCAAGGGACCUUACAGUUCCCCGGCAAAGAGAAUUACAUUGAGUACUGCCUGGCUUCAAUUACAAGGACACACAGAUGCAGAAAGACCCUACUGAGAGUGCCACAGGCCAAUGGAAUGACUCCUUUCAAGCUGGACAACUUAUCCAUUGAUUAAAAAAGCUCUGCAAUAAAAAUGGAACAAUGGAAAAAUCGAAUUAUGAAUUAUUUUUCUAUUAAAAUAAAAGAGAGAAUGAGACACUCUGGGACGGUGGACCAAUUUACAAGUUCUGAUUGCUGGACCUUGUGGGGACUUGCUACAAUUCGGUGACAUUUGGACACGUGGACCAAGCCACUCUUUAUCAUUACAGAUUCAACCUUGUUCUGACUGGUGGAAGAUAAACAUAACAAAUGAGUGUGUGUUUUCUCUCCGAUUUGAGGGCAGUGUCAGACAAACCAUUUCUGUGCAGAGUAAAAGCUUUUGUACCGAUACAUGACAACAUGUUAGAUGUACUGUGCCAUUGGGAAUCUGAUCAAUAAAAUGAUAUUCUAUGGA